ensembl:lincRNA Gm26821 predicted gene, 26821
AACAUUUAAAAAAAAAACCUUUUCAUUCUACAGUUGGCAAGGUUGGUGGCUCAGAUGGGCAAAAUCUCAGGGGUCUGAGGUGGGGUCUUGCAUCGCUCCAAGCACCUGGCCCCGGGCUAUUCUGGUGCUACUGGAGUCGAGGAGCUGCUCCCAGUGGACACGGGUGUCCAGGAGCUGUCUGUGGGUUCUGUGUAUGUGUGGCUGCUGGUGACCAUGGUUCCCAGGACUGGAUAUUGGAUGGACAAGUUCAGCCUUGAAACACUUACUUUCUUUGGCCAUGCUUACUCUCAUUUGUUCACCCAAAUCAGAGAACACACCCCUCCCUCCUCUGAGACCAUCCUUAAAGGUCCCCCCUCCCUUAAAUGCCCAGAGCCCUGGGUGGGGGAUGGGGGACAAAGGGGAAAAGAGUUGAGGAUGAGGGUGGAGGUGUCAGGGAGGAGGGAGAGGGAAGGGGAUGGGUUAAGAAGGCGUGUGUGAUGCCAAGCAAAAAAGACAACAUUAGACACAGAUGCUGAGAUGACGUUUAUCGCGGCAAAAAAAGGUGAAGUCGCCGAGGGAGAAGGGGUGGGGGAGGGGUGUGGUGGGAGCGGGGAGUGGGUAGGNNNNNNNNNNNNNNNNNNNGGGGGAUAGGGAAGAGAGUGCGGUGACCCCAGCCAAGAGCUUCUGGAGGUGGCAGAGAGGAAGUGGGCGGCGGCGCUGGUCAAAGAGGAUGGAAGGAAAUCAGUUAAGAGGGGUUUGAAUGGAGAAACUGGAGGCAUGGCCACUUCACUGCCCGUCCCACCCGCAAACUAUAAUGCGGCAGAGUGGCAGCAGGCAGGGCCAGCCGCGGGGCUUGGACCUUUCCUCUAACGGUUGGAGAGGGAUGUUCAUCUGACUACCUCUUUGCAAGAAAACAAGCCUACCAGAGGUUAGCUUCAGGUCCCAGGAAGAAUUCAGCAGUCAAUUCUCCAAAGACUGCCCCAUCCCAAAGCCAUUCUUUUUGAGCCAGCCUCCAACAGAGGAAGCAGAGGAGAGAUUCAAUUCUCAGCUCCACCAAGGUUCUUCAGAAAGCUCGGAGAACGAACCCAUUUCACAGGAUCUCAAGAACAAAGGCUUUCUCUCCCUCCUCCCGGUCGGAGGACCUGUGCACCCCAGCCAGCUGUCCGAGUUAAUACUGUUCUCUCGAGAUCCUUAACAUUUUGGCGGGGCACACCUUGGGUUUCUCCCAAAUCGAACCGGGAUGUGGACCAUGCCUCCAGGAGUUGAGAUGCCAACACAAAUAAGAGAGAGAGAGAGAGAGAGAGAGAGAGAGAGAGAGAGAGAGAGAAAGAGAGAGACACUCCCCACGUCGCCUGGCUCAAACCAAGUACAAAAGUGACUAUUUACAAUGAAGGCGUGGGGAGUGGGUGGGGGCAACGGGGAGGACAGUCAGAGUGAGCGCUCCGAUGGGGAGGCCACGCCCCCUAGGCCGGCCUUUGCAAAGCCAAACUGCAAAGGUAUUUCUAGAAGAUCCCUGUGCCCCCAGGGGAGGCGGAUCCUAAGGGGUGAGGGAUAAGGAUUGGGGCAUGGCAUGGGGAGGCAUGGGCGCUGGGAGGAGAUGGAGGGAAGGUAGCAACUGCCCUUAGCAUCCACCCCCCUGGCUUCCCUGCCAGACACACAGGUUUUCCGUGGGAUGAACACAGAAAGGGUUAAUUAAAAGAGUUCGAUGGAGCGAGUCUGACGGUCGAGUGGGGCGGGCUGGAGCAAUGAGGCCGCAGGUUCCCGUGGUGGCCGGUGGUGAUGGAGUCACUUAGAAGAUGAGAGGUUGGUGGUUUUGUGGGGGGNNNNNNNNGGUGGGAGGGGGUGGGGGGAAGGGAGGAAGGAGGAGGGUCUCCCUAUAUUAAUUCUAAGGAGACCAGUGUCCUAGACUGUCUGAGAAGGGGUUAAAAACCAGCAGUCUUCACCACCACCACCCUCCAGAGACUUUCCCUCCCUCCUGCCACUAAGCGGGAGGUUGUCUAUGCCUCCGAUGAUAGCCGUGGGGACCCGAUGGAACGGACACACCAGCUGGGGCAUCGAGACCGCUGACUGUGGUGGAGAGAGGGCUCGGACCGCAAGGCUCGGUGUCCACACUCCACAAAGCGUAAACCAGGCUUCUCUGCCCCCCGACCUGGGUAUUGCGGUUCUGUGCUCCCCCAUGGUGACAACCAGUUCAGGUUUUGACGACGCCGGCCUCAAUUCCGGAUGGCGCUUGGGGCUGAUGCCCUGGGCAGAAGGCCUGUCUGGCUGUCCGACAGGUGUACAACCUAGUGGAGCAUCCUGGACGCCUAGAUUGCCACCUUCACCGCUGCUCUGGUGAACGCUUUUGCAAAUUAACCUGUUAGGCUCGAAACAGCAAGAGUCCAUGCAAGGGAGAACCUCCUCUCCUUUUUCAAAUAGCUGGAGACCAGCUAGCCAUAAAGUAAUAAGGAUGGUGUUGGCCACAGGGGCGGGCUGAAGAAACAGAACUGAGGUGGGAACGGAGGUCCGAUAUUCCAAGGGAUUUGGUUGGUCAAGAGUGGAGAGAGAAAAAAAAAAAAAUACCGUGGGAAAACAAGUGGUACCGUAAUAUUCCGAGUAUAGGUCCCCAACCAUUUUAAAGACUCUUGCCACGCUCCCAUAAUUCCCACCUCCAAGUCCAGUACAGACAGAGACUGCAAAAUCCCUGCCUUCC